UGUGAUUGGCUGAUGACCACCUUUUGAUCAGACUGGGCUGGCCAUUCGGAUGUGCUGUCGACUCAUCAUCCUGGCCUACAAGAGUCGGAUGACGAGGAGAUAUCGGUGGUCGUGAGUGAGAGUUACCAAGUGACAGUCGGCGGGCCUUCAUCUGCUCAGGAUAUGAAAGGAUAAUAGGAUGGAUGCCGAGGAUCAGUCAAUG
rnacentral:lncRNA from 1 species